rfam:Asian citrus Psyllid, Diaphorina citri - Florida Strain, whole genome shotgun sequence.
GUCUAAGUAAGCGUGGUUGGUAGCGCGUCUGUCUUGUGAGCGCUAGGUCGCGGGUUCGAUUCCCGCCCGGGGCU